rnacentral:rRNA from 1 species
GGAUUAGAUACCCUGGUAGUCCACGCCGUAAACUAUGAUUACUCGUUAUUGGCGAUACACAGUCAGUGACUAAGCGAAAGUGAUAAGUAAUCCACCUGGGGAGUACGGUCGCAAGAUUGAAACUCAAAGGAAUUGACGGGGGCCCGCACAAGCGGUGGAGCAUGUGGUUUAAUUCGAUGAUACGCGAGGAACCUUACCAGGGCUUAAAUGCAGAGUGACCGUUCCGGAAACGGAACUUUCUUCGGACAAUUUGCAAGGUGCUGCAUGGCUGUCGUCAGCUCGUGCCG